AUGGCCUUUGCCCGUCCUGUAACCGCGCGUCUGCCCAGACUGCCGGCGACCAGCAGUCCCGCGUCGUCGUCGUGGGGAGCUGCCCGCGUCGGCUAUAGGCUAGCGAGGAGGCAGAGUCGGCCAAAUCCCCAAACAACACCAACGCACUCUUCGCUCCUGGUGCGCGUCACGGCGAUGAUGAUGUUCACGGAGGGCCUCGAUGAGUCGGCCAUAAAGUUGGAUCAAGCGGGGAGUCGGAUACUCCCCCGACGUGCCUGGCCGGCGUCGGGUCCCCCCGCCAGCGCCUCGCCGGUGGUAUUCGGCUGA
rnacentral:rRNA from 1 species